rnacentral:rRNA from 1 species
UAAGGAAUAUUGGACAAUGCCCGCAAGGGUGAUCCAGCCAUGCCGCGUGCAGGAAGACGGCCCUAUGGGUUGUAAACUGCUUUUACACCGGAGAAAACCCCCCUACGUGUAGGGGGCUGAUAGUAUGGUGAGAAUAAGCAUCGGCUAACUUCGUGCCAGCAGCCGCGGUAAGACGAAGGAUGCAAGCGUUAUCCGGAUUCAUUGGGUUUAAAGGGAGCGUAGGUGGCCUUAUAAGUCAGUGGUGAAAUCUUCGAGCUUAACUCGGAAAUUGCCAUUGAUACUGUAGGGCUUGAGUACAGUUGCUGUGGGCGGAAUAUGACAUGUAGUGGUGAAAUACAUAGAGAUGUCAUAGAACACCGAUUGCGAAGGCAGCUCACAAAGCUGUAACUGACACUGAGGCUCGAAAGUGCGGGGAUCAAACAGG